CCUACGGGCGGCAGCAGUGGGGAAUAUUGCACAAUGGGCGAAACCCUGAUGCAGCGACGCCGCGUGAGUGAAGACGUAUUUCGGUAUGGAAAGCUCUAUCAGCAGGGAAGAAAAUGACGGUACCUGAUUAACAAGCCCCGGCUAACUACGUGCCAGCAGCCGCGGGAAGACGUAGGGGGCAAGCGUUAUCCGGAUUUACUGGGUGUAAAGGGAGCGUAGACGGCAGCACAAGUCUGGAGGGAAAUGCCGGGGCUUAACCCUGGAACUGCUUUGGAAACUGUCCAGCUAGAGUGCAGGAGAGGUAAGCGGAAUGCGUGGUGUAGCGGUGAAAUGCGUAGAUAUUAGGAAGAACACCAGUGGCGAAGGCAGCAUACUGGACUGUAACUGACGUUGAGGCUCGAAAGCGUGGGGAGCGAACAGGAUUAGAUACCCGUGUAGUC
rnacentral:rRNA from 1 species